GCGCUAAUAAGUCGUUUCAUUUUGCGUGCGUGAGAGUUUUCAAGAACCUCCUGUCUAACCAACCCAAAAUUGGGUUGGCCACGUAUAGUCCAAGGAUGUGUGUGUGAGAUGCAUUCAUUUAUGUGCGUUGGGAACUCAUUCCCUCCGCACGGAAAACGGAGCGGUCCAUUAGCGCGU
rnacentral:pre_miRNA from 1 species